rnacentral:rRNA from 1 species
UAGGGAAUUUUCGUCAAUGGGGGCAACCCUGAACGAGCAAUGCUGCGUGAGCGAAGAAGGUCUUCGGAUUGUAAAGCUCUGUUGCCGGGGAAAAAGGAAGGAAAGAGGAAAUGCUUUUCUUUGGAUGGUACCCGGCCAGAAAGUCACGGCUAACUACGUGCC